UUGUUAUGAUGAAAAUUCAGUGCAUUGAUGACAUUCAUUGAGUGCUUUAUGAUACAUUGACAUUUAUGUCGAACCAGAGUGGUUACCUGAGCAG